rnacentral:rRNA from 1 species
AGCGAACGCUGGCGGCAGGCUUAACACAUGCAAGUCGAACGGGCUUCUUCGGACGUCCGUGGCAGACGGGUGAGUAACACGUGGGAACGUGCCCUUCGGUCCGGAAUAACUCAGGGAAACUUGAGCUAAUACCGGAUACGCCCUUAUGGGGAAAGGUUUACUGCCGAAGGAUCGGCCCGCGUCUGAUUAGCUUGUUGGUGGGGUAACGGCCUACCAAGGCGACGAUCAGUAGCUGGUCUGAGAGGAUGAUCAGCCACACUGGGACUGAGACACGGCCCAGACUCCUACGGGAGGCAGCAGUGGGGAAUAUUGGACAAUGGGCGCAAGCCUGAUCCAGCCAUGCCGCGUGAGUGAUGAAGGCCUUAGGGUUGUAAAGCUCUUUUGUCCGGGACGAUAAUGACGGUACCGGAAGAAUAAGCCCCGGCUAACUUCGUG